UACAGAGGUCUCAAGCGUUGUUCGGAUUCACUGGGUUUAAAGGGUGCGUAGGUGGGUCUGUAAGUCAGUGGUGAAAUCUCCGUGCUUAACAUGGAAACUGCCAUUGAUACUAUAGGUCUUGAAUUUUCUGGAGGUAAGCGGAAUAUGUCAUGUAGCGGUGAAAUGCUUAGAUAUGACAUAGAACACCAAUUGCGAAGGCAGCUUGCUACAGGGAUAUUGACACUGAGGCACGAAAGCGUGGGGAUCAAACAGG
rnacentral:rRNA from 1 species